UGGACAGCCAGGUCUGUCUGUCUCUCUGUCCUGCACUCUGUCUCUCUCUCCCACUUUGUUGGACAUCUCUGUUUCUCAGGUAGCAAUUGACUUCACGGCAUCCAAUGGCGAUCCCCAGAGCCACUCCUCCCUCCACUACAUCGACCAAUCACAGCCCAACGAAUAUGUCAAGGCCCUGUCAGCGGUGGCCGAGGUGUGCCAGGACUACGACAGUGACAAGUCAUUCCCUGCCUUCGGAUUUGGAGCCCGGAUACCCCCCAACUACGAGGUGUCACAUGACUUCCCCCUGAACUUCAACCCAGACAACCCUGAGUGCGAAGGUACAGCAGUAUUAAACAGUGUGUAACACACCUCUGUACACUAAUAACAGCCCUCCGAAGGCCAGACACGUAUAUGGACUAUGUCUGACGGCAUUAAAAAUGAGCCCCUUCAUUGUUUAUAGAUUCAUGUCCUGCAUGAGUGCGGUGUUUUAAAGGUGUUACCUAUUUUAUUAACCCCUCUCUCUCAGUGCAGUGUUAAUGUACUGGAGUGUCCAGUCAGUCAGUGUGUCUGUA